ACAAAUUUUUAUCGGCCUCUCUGGCUUCUAUCAAGUGUUUUGAACUCUUUGUACUCGUUUUAUUGGGAUGUGACUCGGGAUUGGGACUUGAGGUAUGUUGUUGCUUUCGUACUGUUUCACAUUUAUAGUGUGACAAUUGUCACUUAGUUACUCCCCUUCAUCUCUGAACCAGAGAAGGGCCAUUGCCUUGUUUGGUUCCACUGAAGCAUUAAGCAAGCUGCUAAUCACGUCAAUGUUGACACUCUUGAACUGAAUCCUAUAGGCUCUGAACACUUACAUCUUCAACAACAUUUAUUAAUUAAUCUCUUUUUCUUUUGCC
rnacentral:misc_RNA from 1 species